rnacentral:misc_RNA from 1 species
GAUGAAGAACGCAGCGAAAUGCGAUAAGUAAUGUGAAUUGCAGAAUUCAGUGAAUCAUCGAAUCUUUGAACGCACAUUGCGCCCCCUGGUAUUCCGGGGGGCAUGCCUGUCCGAGCGUCAUUACAACCCUCAAGCUCAGCUUGGUGUUGGGCCCCGCCGCCCCGGCGGGCCCUAAAGUCAGUGGCGGUGCCGUCCGGCUCCGAGCGUAGUAAUUCUUCUCGCUUCGGAGACCCGGGUGCGUGCUAGCCAGCAACCCCCAACUUUCUCAGGUUGACCUCGGAUCAGGUAGGGAUACCCGCUGAACUUAAGCAUAUCAAUAAGCGGAGGA